rnacentral:rRNA from 1 species
GACGAACGCUGGCGGCGUGCUUAACACAUGCAAGUCGAACGGAAAGGCGCUGAGUUUGUGGGGUGCUCGAGUGGCGAACGGGUGAGUAACACGUGAGUAACCUGCCCUUGACUUUGGGAUAACUUCAGGAAACUGGGGCUAUUACCGGGUAGGAGCUCCUGCUGCGUGGUGGGGGUUGGAAAGUUUCGGCGGUGGGGGCUGGACUCGCGGCUUAUCAGCUUGUUGGUGGGGUAGUGGCUUACCAAGGCUUUGACGGGUAGCCGGCCUGAGAGGGUGACCGGCCACAUUGGGACUGAGAGACGGACCAGACGCCUACGGGAGGCAGCAGGGGGGAAUAUUGCAGAAUGGGCGGAAGCCUGAUGCAGCAACGCCGCGUGCGGGAUGACGGCUUUCGGGUUGUAAACCGCUUUCGCCGGUGACGAAGAGUGAGUGACGGUAAUGGGUAAAGAAGCACCGGCUAACUACGUG